rnacentral:rRNA from 1 species
UGAACGCUAGCUACAGGCUUAACACAUGCAAGUCGAGGGGCAGCAUUGGAGUAGCAAUACUCAGAUGGCGACCGGCGCACGGGUGAGUAACACGUAUCCAACCUGCCGCUUACUCGGGGAUAGCCUUUCGAAAGAAAGAUUAAUACCCGAUGGUAUAAAGAGUUCGCAUGUUCUCUUUAUUAAAGAAUUUCGGUAAGCGAUGGGGAUGCGCUCCAUUAGAUAGUUGGCGGGGUAACGGCCCACCAAGUCUACGAUGGAUAGGGGGUUCUGAGAGGAAGGUCCCCCACAUUGGAACUGAGACACGGUCCAAACUCCUACGGGAGGCAGCAGUGAGGAAUAUUGGUCAAUGGACGCGAGUCUGAACCAGCCAAAAGUAGCGUGAAGGAUGACUGCCCUAUGGGUUGUAAACUUCUUUUAUAAGGGAAUAAAGUGAGGGACGCGUCCCUUUUUGUAUGUACCUUAUGAAUAAGGAUCGGCUAACUCCGUGCCAGCCGCCGC